UGCCAGCCGCCGCGGUAAAACCAGCACCUCAAGUGGUCAGGAUGAUUAUUGGGCCUAAAGCAUCCGUAGCCGGCUCUGUAAGUUUUCGGUUAAAUCUAUACGCUCAACGUAUAGGCUGCCGGGAAUACUGCAGAGCUAGGGAGUGGGAGAGGUAGACGGUACUCGGUAGGAAGUGGUAAAAUGCUUUGAUCUAUCGAUGACCACCUGUGGCGAAGGCGGUCUACCAGAACACGUCCGACGCUGAGUCACGAAAGCGUGGGGAGCGAACAGGAUUAGAUA
rnacentral:rRNA from 1 species